AACAGGAUUAGAUACCCUGGUAGUCCACGCUGUAAACGAUGUCGACUUGGAGGUUGUGCCCUUGAGGCGUGGCUUCCGGAGCUAACGCGUUAAGUCGACCGCCUGGGGAGUACGGCCGCAAGGUUAAAACUCAAAUGAAUUGACGGGGGCCCGCACAAGCGGUGGAGCAUGUGGUUUAAUUCGAUGCAACGCGAAGAACCUUACCUACUCUUGACAUCCAGAGAAUUUGCUAGAGAUAGCUUAGUGCCUUCGGGAACUCUGAGACAGGUGCUGCAUGGCUGUCGUCAACUCGUGUUGUGAAAUGUUGGGUUAGGUCCCGCAACGAGCGCAACCCUUAUCCUUUGUUGCCAGCGAGUAAUGUCGGGAACUCAAAGGAGACUGCCGGUGAUAAACCGGAGGAAGGUGGGGAUGACGUCAAGUCAUCAUGGCCCUUACGAGUAGGGCUACACACGUGCUACAAUGGCAUAUACAAAGAGAAGCGAACUCGCGAGAGCAAGCGGACCUCAUAAAGUAUGUCGUAGUCCGGAUUGGAGUCUGCAACUCGACUCCAUGAAGUCGGAAUCGCUAGUAAUCGUAGAUCAGAAUGCUACGGUGAAUACGUUCCCGGGCCUUGUACACACCGCCCGUCACACCAUGGGAGUGGGUUGCAAAAGAAGUAGGUAGCUUAACCUUCGGGAGGGCGCUUACCACUUUGUGAUUCAUGACUGGGGUGAAGUCGUAACAAGGUAACC
rnacentral:rRNA from 1 species